UACGGAGGGUGCAAGCGUUAAUCGGAAUUACUGGGCGUAAAGCGCACGUAGGUGGCGAGAUAAGUUGGAUGUGAAAAACCGGGGCUUAACCUCGGCCGUGCAUUCAAAACUGUCUAGCUAGAGUAAGGGAGAGGGGGGUAGAAUUCCAGGUGUAGCGGUGAAAUGCGUAGAGAUCUGGAGGAAUACCGGUGGCGAAGGCGGCCCCCUGGCCCAUUACUGACACUGAGGUGCGAAAGCGUGGGUAGCGAACAGG
rnacentral:rRNA from 1 species